UGUGGUUUUGGAACGAGACUGCUGAAAACGAUUUUUUUUUUUUUUUUUUUUCCCCCCUCAUGAGUGGAGUGUGAAGUGGCUGUGAUUGAACAGCGUCUGUCGGAGCUGUUGUGCGCUCGAGCGUUAGGAAAUGUCUAUUUCUUAACAUAGCUUUCUCUGGGCGUGGUGGGGAGUAGGACUGCAUAUGCAGAUAUUAUAAAAGGACACCGAUGUCCAUCUUCUGGCAUGUGAAAAGCUGCCUUUCCACCAUCAGAUUCUGCGUAACCAAGUCACGAAGAAGAAUGAAGAACAGAAAACGACUCAAAUUGUACUCUUGUACUGAAGUACUGCUAAGUCUUUCCUGUCAGGAAGAUGUUUGGCACUUGUUUUCAUAAGGGAUGAAGAUAAAAUUGCAUUGAUGCAUAGGUGAAAUUCUAGGUAUUAGAUUUAUGUCACUGAAAUAAUCUGGAUUCUACUCUGCAAAUCAUUAAUUUUACUUCAAAUUAUUUUACCAUUUGGCAUGUUAUUUCAUUACUACUUUUCCCUGCUGCAAGCCUCAGUAGUUUAGAUGCAUCUGUAGGUGGAAUAUGUUAGUUUCUAUUCUAAAAGUCUUAUAGAAGUGAUAGGUCAAACAGUGACUCAGGACCCUUAUCAUAUGUGGAAUGAGAGAAAGAAAAUUUUAUUUACAUAUCUUACAAUGACAGAUACUCAUGGUGAAUUUAACUGGUUGGAUGCGUGAGGUGAAUAUUCUUGUACACUGCAGCUAGCUUCCUCUUGUUGUUUGUUCUGUGCCUGUACUGAUAGGGAAUUCUUGAUGCCUUUUUCAUGUCGUCUGGGAUCUGGCAGAAUUUCAGCAAGUCAUAGUAUUUUGUAUGCUGAUUAUACUGUCACACAGCAGUAUAAAACUUGCAUAACCAACUGUAUAACAGGUUUUGGAAGAGAUCAUUGGACUCUUCGCAUCUUCUGUGUUGGUUUUGACUGAGUUGUUGCUGACUUGCCUGUUAUGGUUAACAGAAUUCAAUAGGAUUUUGAUUUGCUCUGUUGUAUUCAGAUCUCAGAGGGUACAGUUCAUCAGCCAAUACUAGAACAAUAAAAAUUGAGGGUUCCUCUGUUUUGUCAUUAUUUCUAGUGUGUCUAUUUCUAGUGUGUCAUAUUCUUCAAAUGAGAAUAGGUUCUUCGAUGUUCUUUCUACCAAGAAUGAAAGGUGGUGCUACGGAGUUGAAAUUUUAUUCCUGUUUUCUGUGACUCCAAGUUCACCACAGUUUGCAGGAGACUCCACAUAUGCUGAAAGAAGAUAGAAAAGAGCAUGACAAUGGUUGAAACUGCUGUAAGACUGACAAGGGAUGUGCUGACCAAAAUCUGCUUGGUAUUGAUGCAGCGUAGCCGAGUGCUGUGGGUCCAUUGGAAUCGGGGCUUUCUUUAGCAACUUACUUUAUCUGUCUCGUAGUGUGACAUUUUUCUUGGAAGGUAUGUUGUGUGUUAGCCUUCUUCACACCUAGAAGUCCACAUAUAGAGGAAACAGAACAGUCCUGCAAGAUACUUCAGUUCUUUGUCUUGCCUAAGUAGGAAUUGUUUUCCUGUGAGUGUAUUGACACCAUUAUUUGUUGUAGGUGCUUUAAUAUUGUCAAGGCAGUAAGGAAAAAAAGAAAAAAAAAAAUCAGACCCUAAAAACCUGAACCACCAUGAACUUGAACUCUUUGAUAGUACUGAGUUUUUGCCACCAAAUUACCCUAUCGCUAGGAUAGGCUUAGAAGGAUGAGAUAUGUCAUGACAGGGAAAUGUAUUUAAAAAUGGAAGCUCAUCUUCAUAAUUAAGAAUGAGCAAAUGCCAACAGAUGUAGGGAGAAGAAAGUCUGUUUGAGUUUCUACAAGGCACUGCCACCCUCAAAUUCAGGCUGAAGUUGCUUAACCUAGGUUUCUUGCUCCAGCCCUCUUAAUUUUGGAGGCUCACUGUGGGCACAUGGUGGACUGCAAACUGCUAUGACUUGGGGACAUGCUGAUUGUGAGUGAGAUUUGGCCUAGGAUGACUGAGAUGCUGUGUUCAUUUAUGUAGCAGUCCUGAACAGAUUUCUCUUGUGCUGUUCUGUGAUGGUUGUGAGAAAAGAGGAAGUAAUAACUGUAGACUGAAUUCUUUGCUUGUGUUUGGUUUGGUCCCUUUUCUCUCCAGAGCAGACUGAUGGCAUCUUGGAGUCACUGGGGGGGAAAAACUUGUAGCCCUGGAGGAGGGCUAAGCAUUAUGCAGAUAAGAGACAAGAAAAGAACAAAUUUGUUAUUGUAGAUGUUGUACUUAUAAUGUAGCUACAAUGUUAGAUUAGAACACAUGACGAGAUUUUACAUUAUAUGUUCUUAAGAAAUUGGUUUCUGUCACUUGAAAGUGAUCUGGUAUUUUUCAAAAAAUGCAGAAGUCCCAACCUCAGUAUGAAGCAGGUCAGAAAUAAGAAGCUAAGUAAAGCAGUGUAAAUGCUUUCUUUAUUCACGCACCGUCAAAGAUGAACUCAUAGACCUAAGGAUGUUGUCAUAUUCUAUUAAUGAAAGUUGAACAGAUACAGCUCAGUUCACAUGUGUAAGCUGCCGCACUUUAAGGAGUAACGCUGAAGUGGGCCUUUGGCAAGUUAAGACCAUUUUGAGAAAAGGCUGAAAAUAUGUUCUGCAGCUGUUAACAGAUGAAACAGAAGAUGUGCGAGGCAUAACAGACUGGGAAGAGAUAAGGACCAACUUGUCCCUUGCAGCACUGACAGGCGCUAGAGGCGGUAUCAUACUGCAGGUUCCACUGUCUGCUUUGGCUGCUGAGAGGACUGGAACUGUGAUUUUUCUUCCAUUCUUCCUUCUUUCCCAACUGUCUUUGAAGUUGGACAACUGUGCUGCACUGGUAUAACCUUUCUGCUUGGUGGCAGAGAGAAGGAACGUCUGCUUUCUCUUGCUCUGUUGUUUACUCUUUGUUCUUUCAUUGACAUUCUUUACCUGUCAGAAAUAUUCCAAAGUGUGUGCUCUUCAAAUGGGCAGGUUUGUGAAACUGAUGAGUAUUUGGUGUCUGCUGCAGCUCAGAAUGAAAUUAGUAACAUAUUCCAAAAUAUACAUUAGGUAUUUCAACUGUGCGCUGUGAAAUACAGCUAAUUCACAUUUGACUUUCUUUUCUUCUCUGAUGUGUUCUGUGUUUGUGUAUUGGUCUUAAAAUAUUGCUUUAUUAUUCUUUACUUUUAAAAGUUGGGAUCUGUGGUGAUUGUUAUUACAGGUAUAUGCAGUUAUAAGUAGGGUUUUUUCCCUCUACCUUAAAAGUCAGAUCACUGUCCCUCCUAAUUUGUUGAAAUUAAUAGUAGGUGAAGAAGUUGUAGUGGGUGGGAGACUUUGUGGUAACCAGCAAACCUGACACCUUAUACAGAGAGAUCUAGAUGUCGUGCAAGUAAUGAAUUCAGGAGAAUUAAGUGAUUUGAAAUCAUGUAGUAUCUGAAUUCUGAUAGAAGAGCAGCUUUAAGGGUGGGCUUGAAAAAUGUUACUGACUUCUAGUAAUAGAAUAAACUUUCCUGGCUAACACUAGCUAUGGAAAGUGAAGGGUGAA